rnacentral:rRNA from 1 species
AUACCCUAUUAUUUUUAUUGUAAAAUUUUUAAACCUGAGUAGUAUUAGAAAAAUCUUAAAACUUAAAGAGUUUGGCGGUAUUAUAGUCUAUUUAGAGGAAUCUGUUUUUUAAUCGAUAAUCCACGUUGAAUCUUACUUAUUUUAAAUUCUUGUAUAUCGUUGUUUAAGGAAAUUCUAUAAGGUAAAAUUUUCAUGAAAAUAGAUUAUUUAAUAUUUCAAGUCAAGAUGCAGUUAUAUUUAAGUUAUAUAAUGGAUUACAAUAAAGUUUAUUUAUGAUGGAUUGUUAAUUAAAAUUAAUAUGAAGGUGGAUUUAAUAGUAAUUUUGUGAAGAUUGUUAAAAUGAUUUAUAGCUCUAUAAUAUGUACACAUCGC